UAAAAUUUAAAAUUAUAAUACUUAAAUAGUAGAUAAUUAUUUAUUGAAACUUAAAUAAUUUGGCGGUAUUUUAGUUCAUUUAGAGGAAUCUGUUUAAUAAUUGAUAUUCCACGAAUAAAUUUACUUAAUUUAUAAUUUUGUAUAUCGUUGUUAUAAAAAUAUUUUUUAAUAAAAUUAAUAUUUAAAAAUUAUUAUUUAAAUUUAAAUCAGAUCAAGAUGCAGAUUAUAAUUAAGAAUAUAAUGGAUUACAAUAAAUUUAUUUAAAUGGAUAUUUUUUUUGUAAAAAUUAAUUGAAGGUGGAUUUAAAUGUAAUUUUAUUAAUUUUAUUAAAAUGAUUAAAAAUUAAAAUAUGU
rnacentral:rRNA from 1 species